rnacentral:lncRNA from 1 species
GUAUCUGUCACGUUUCAAAUUCAUAUCAAUAUUCACGUAUUUCAAACCAUUUAAUCUUCUCAAUACCAUUUAAACCUCUCAACUACCUACAAACCACAAAAGCAUUUAUCUCCCACCAAACCCACUGAAAAAGCAUUUCAUCUACCUACAAAAUUAUCUACUUACCACCAAAGCCAUUGAAAACACGAAAAAAGCAUUUCAUCUACCUACAAAAUCAUCUAUCUACCACCAAAGCCAUUCAAAACACUAUUUUCAAUUUAACCAGUAUUCAUUUAGCAACUUGGUAUUUCCUAACCUAUCCAAAUCAUACAAAAGUCCGCCACUACCGUCAUCGAAGUAAUAAAUGCCGAAAAAGGUAAUUUACAUGUUUACAUUUAACGUUAGAAAGAUAUCAGUUCAUAGACAUGAAUCUCCAUGCACUGCAGAGAUCGCAUUCCAGCCUGCGCCAAAACAUGCAUCUCUCGGCAGUGGGAGAAUUUAGCAUAUUUUUGUUUCAUAUCUUUUUUGUUAAAUAAACAGUAUAAAUAAAUUAUUCCUUCUAUAAAUAACAAUUUAUUUUUGCUUAAAAAAAAUCCAUCAUUUUUUUUAAGUUUUAAAAUAAUAAACAAGAAAAUGAAUAUAUUCAGUCCGCACAGUGCAGUGUGCCUAAACACUCUGCAUAGCACAGAGUGUUUUCCCAAACACUAUGCUGUACGGAGUGUUUCCCCAAACACUCCCUCCCUCCGAGCGCCCAAACACUCCAUUACAUGUUUUACAGCAUUUUGUUCUCUUUCAUUUACAUUUUUUUUUAAUAAUUUCAUUUAACCUACAAAAGCAACAUAAAAAUCAUAUAAUAAAUCGUCCAUAAUUGAUAAAAAUUAGCUCAUUAAAAAACUCAAAUGAUAUUUUUGUAGAGUUGUAGUACAUGAGAUAUCAUUCAUCGUAAUGGGGAUCUUUUGCUAGCUUCUAUUUUUAAAUUUAUUUAUGAAGAUUAAGCUAGAUUUGUAUAUAAAAAAAUUUUAUGAUUAAAGAAUGGUUUUUUUGAUAAUUUUUGUAGAUGUCGUUACAAUACAUAUUGUCUCCAAAUCAAUGGUUCUCUGCUAUUAUUAGUCAAUUUACAAAUCAUCAAUAUCUUAAAGAUUUUGUAGAACUUAUAGAUGCAGAUGAUCAGGCCUCUUUAUUGUGCAGUCACUUUCAUGUAUUUAUUUAUGGAAGUAUGUAUAAGGCACAAAAAUAAAAAUUUAGUAGUAAAUUGAUACACGAGUUUAUAAUGAGACUUAUUGACUGUGGUAAAAAUAAUGAAGUUUGGUGCGAUCAGAUAAUCGUGUGGCCCGUUUUGGCAUGCAAUAAUUUUGUCUAAUCAUUGGAUUACCAUGCCAUAAAGUUAUUGUUAAUCUCGAUUUUAGUAAUACUCGACUUAGGGAUGAGUACUUCAAUGGUACAAAAAAGAAUUACUAUGAAAAGACUUUCUGAAGGAUUCCACAUAUGUCAAGAUCUAGAAGAUAAAUUUAAGUUGCGAUUAGUUAUAUCCGUGGAAUGUAUUUUGAAACCAACUAGAAGGUACAUCGAUUAUAGAACUCUUAGAAUGGUUGAACAAUUUGAUGAGUUUCUUAUGUAUCCAUGGGGCCGCAAGACAUAUUUUAUUUUAUUAAAUUCAUUGCAAGAAUCAUAGCUCGAAAGAGUAUAAAAGGUACAAUAAAAUAACCAAACAGAUUAUAAAUAUUCCUCAAAAGGUUAUCCAUUUGCAUUUCAGGUAUUUUUCUUUUAUUUUUAUUUUUUGCUUAUUAUGUAUAAUCUAAUUGUAUAAAAAAAUUAAUAUUUAUUUUUACUUAUAUUGCAGUAUUGGAUAUAUGAAGCUUUUUCUCAAAUUAGAAAAUAAUUUGGACGUAAUACACAUAGAAAAUGCAAUAUCCAUGAAUGCAUAAAUGGAAUCCAAAAAUAGUAUUAACAGAACAAAUCAUUAAACAAUUUCUGGCUACUCAAGAGGUAUGAUUUAUUUAAAUCUACAAUUAAAUGUGUAUUUAAUUAUUUAUAAACGAAUUUAAAAAAAUAAAUCUAAUAUUUUAUUACAAUUAUAGAUUGAAGUAAUUGCAGUACUGCAUCCUACUGAAGAAGAAUUGAAAACAUUCUGGUAUACAAAUCAUUGACAACCAACAUUGUAUACCUGAUGGCAUUGUCAAUGGCGAAUUUGAAAAUGUAACACAAUAGAUUCCUAUUGAUAACAUACAUAUGCAAGAAACAAUUGUUGGCACUUCAGUUGGAAUUGGAUCUAUUUCUUCUGGUGGUUCAAACUAUGUAACUAAAGAAGAUAUGGACCAAACAUUCAAUAUUUAUAGACAACAUGUAGUGUCAAAUGUAUCUGGUUUGUAUGAUAGCUUAAAAACACAAAUGGUUGAAAAAUCGAGAAAAUAAGAAGCACGCUAUAUCAUGCAAUUCUUGAAAAUCCAAAAGCUCACUACCAGACGAUUCUUGACAACUAGAAACAAUAUUUGAAUAUCAGCAAAAAGGCCAAUAAGGCUACUUCCAAGGUAUGCAAUCUUAUGUGGAUACCAAUUUCAGUUCAACGAAAUCGUACAUUGAUGAACAAAAUUAGAAUAUGCUGAAUCAAUUGUCUGACUGGAAAUCAUACAUGGAAACAAUUGUAGGCUCUAUACAACGAGAUGUUCCUGCCUAUACAAGUUCAAUUGAAUUCGAAAACCCUUCAACAUCUGAACAUAUUGAAAAUGUUGAAAGGUUGACGAAAAAAAGGAGGUAAGAAAAAACAAACACAAUCUCCAUCAACAGUGCUGACUAAUACUUUAAAAGAAACUAUAACAACAACAAGUACGAAAAAAUUAGAGAUUUGAUAUUACAAAAUCCAUCAGGAUGGGAGAUCCAAUAUUACUUUAUUAGCUUAAAUAUUAUAAUUUAUAUUUUAUUCAUUUAACACCAAUUUAAAUUUUCUUAUAUAGUACGUAUUGGGAUGAUGGAGCCGGCAAUCUCUACGAAAGACAAAUGCUAAGAGAUAUAAUUUAUCAAACGAAAGAUAUAAAUAUUAUAGUAAGUAAAAUUUAGUAAUCAUAAUUCAUUUUAUUCCAUUAUUAAUAUAUAUAAUUUACACUUUUUUUUAUUAGAAUAUUGAUACAGAAUUAAAGCUAUUGAGGAGGCUUAUUAACGGCGAUUCUCCCCCCGUUUCUAAAGAAUAUGCAAUCAUGGACCAUAGAUUCGAAACUGAAUGUGUUCAUUGGCAAAUGAAUAUGCAAGAAGGAAUUGGCAAUCUGCAACUAAUUUGAACAUAUUACAACAGUACAUAAAUGGAAAAUUGUCAUUAUCUCCUCAUCUGUGGAUAACAUGUAACUAUUUAUUAAUUCCAUUUGCAUAUCUAGGCAACACUUGAUUUCUUUUUCUUGUUGAUUUUCGAGAAUGGAAAUUUCAUAUAUAUGAUUACAACAACAGCAUUCAUACAUCGAAACAAAUGAGGGCACAUGCAAGACCAAUAUUGACUGUAGUAGAAUCAUUAUUAGUAUGUGCAGACAUUUUCUCUAGCAAACCAAGUUUAAGAAAGUAUAGAAAUAAACAUAUGAAUUUGAAAAUCAUACCGUAUCUACCUUGUCAAAAUAAUGGGUAAGCAUCUCAACAGUUUACUAUAAUAUUUAAUUUUCUAUUUAAAAUAUUAAUAUAAUCUAACUUCAAACUAUUUUUUCUAUAGGCCAAAUUGUGGAGUUUUCUUCUCAAAUACAUAGAAUGCUUCAUUUUCAAAUAUCCAUUAGAAUCGAUUUCACUAGAGAAGAUGAGUUUAUACAGAUGGAAGAUUGCAACAGAUAUCUUGAAUAUUUUUUACCUCUCCGUUUGUCCCGAUUUCAAUGUAUUAUCAAAGUAUAGUAAGAUUAUUUUCAAAUGCCAACAUAUUUACCACAUUGAGCAUGCGUUGAAUGAUAAUAACAACUACAUGAUUAUUAUCACUAAACCACAGCUUGCAUUCACUACUUUAAUACUAUUCAACACAGUUUCUAAGAUGAGUUAUAAGUAUUUCUUCAUUAUGUACGAAUAUACUAAAACUUAUAAAUAUCUAAAUCAUCAUUGUAUUGUUGCCUACAAUAACUUAACGUAUAUUCUAUUACAAUAAAUAAUCUUAUUACCUCUGCUUCACAGGCAAGCAAUGAAGACAUUGAAUUUCACUCUUCAAAAAUACCCAAAUAGUUAAAAAAGCUACCCAUAGCAGUUGUAAGGUAAGGCUAUUCUCAUUACAAUAUAUCCAUCACCUACAAUGCUGUAGGUAAGGCUACAAUGCUUAUAUUAAAGUAUAUUAUGGUCUCUCACCCAGAGAUACGUGAAGGCAAAUGAGGGAACCCCAUGCUAGCACAGAAAAUAACUCAUCAAAGAAAUUUAUACCAUAAUUGGGGGCCUUCAUGUUGGGGAAGAUUCCAAAAAUACCCAAAGGAAUUAUACAAGAAAGGCCAAGGAUCCCCCCAUGACGAGCUAUUUGGUAAACAACAAUCCUGGCGAGACACACACCACUCCAACAAUCACUUUCAUGCAUAAAGGUACCAUUGGUGUCCAUUACCCGCACUGUGACGCCCUCAUUAAGUUAUGCCAUUUUGAGUAGGGAAGAAUCCAAAAAUUCAAUGCAGCAAUACUUAAACUUAAUGCAUAGUCAAAUACAAUGUUUAUAAAUUGUAGUCGACAUGCAAUGUAUAUAAAACUAGACGAAACAGACAUUUAAACAUUUCUUUAAAAGUGUCAUCUAGUUAUUCAAAAUAGGUUUACACGAACUAGAAAUUUUACUAGAAAGUUGAAAACUUUUCAAAUCCCUGAGCACUUACCACUAUGCCAAAUCACUGUCAUGCCUUGAAUCAACCUGUAAGAUUUUUAGUAGGGAUGAGCAACUACAAGUAAUGCUCAGUAGGAAAGCACUAAAGUAAAUGGUAAAAAUUUAAAUUUAUUUUCAGAAAUACAAACUUUGGUCAUUUGUGUCACCACCAAUCUCUUCAUCUCUUAUUUGAACAACCAAACUUUGGUCAUUUGUGUCACCACCUAUCUCUUCAUCUCAUAUUUGAAC